CUACGGAAGGCAGCAGUGAGGAAUAUUGCGCAAUGGGGGAAACCCUGACGCAGCAACGCCGCGUGGGUGAAGAAGGCCUUCGGGUUGUAAAGCCCUGUCAGGUGGGAAGAAACCUCGGUAGGUGAAUAGCCUGCUGAACUGACGGUACCACCAAAGGAAGCACCGGCUAACUCCGUGCCAGCAGCCGCGGUAAGACGGAGGGUGCAAGCGUUGUUCGGAAUUACUGGGCGUAAAGAGCGUGUAGGCGGUUUGAUAAGUCGAGUGUGAAAGCCCGAGGCUCAACCUCGGAAGUGCACUCGAAACUGUCAGGCUUGAGUACGGGAGAGGGAAGUGGAAUUCCUGGUGUAGAGGUGAAAUUCGUAGAUAUCAGGAGGAACACCGGUGGCGAAGGCGGCUUCCCGGACCGAUACUGACGCUGAGACGCGAAAGCGUGGGGAGCAAACAGGAUUAGAUACCCGUGUAGUCC
rnacentral:rRNA from 1 species